rnacentral:lncRNA from 1 species
GGAGGUUUACCUCCUCUGAAGCAUGCAGUCAGAAAGAAGAAUCUGAGAUCCUUCCAUCCAGAUUAAAAAUAUGUAUUUUAAUCUAGAUAUUACUGUAUUUAAGUCAUUUUGUCACCUUUGACUAUUUGAAUUCGACUUCUAAAACCCCUGUUGCUAGGCCAGCAGGCCACCAAUUGUACUUGCAAACAACCCCAAGUUGUUUUUAAAGUAGCUGUAACAUUUAGAUCUUUCUAACAUUUCCUGAAAUAAUUAAAUAUAAAUGAAUUUAUAUUUAAAUCUUCAGCUAUGUUCUUACUUAGCUGUCAGUUAUGGCGCAGAUUAUUCUAUUUCUCUGUUUACCUCUGAUGGUAAUUUUAACUUCAUGUGUCGCUAUGAAGACCUGCAGAUGUCUUUAAUCAAGCACUAUUUAAUACUGUAAUAUCAAAAUAUUACGUUGCAUUAUUUUAAAGCUUUCAAAAAUAAGAGUAAAAUUUUUUUUGUUUUUUAAAUGUUAUUGCACCAUAUAAUUUGCUGCACAACAGUAUGGCACAGCAUAUCAGUCUGUUGGGAUAGUAAUGCUGCAUAAACAAUGUUUUGAUCUGGGUUUCUUUGGAGAACGCACGAAUGAGGUGACACUGAACACCAUGACUGUCUCGCCAACCUCCACGUGGGAAGGGUUUGGUUUGUCUUUAGUGAAGGACCCAGGACUCUGCUUCAUACUUAGAGGGUGGUUUUUAUUUUAGUUUUGUUUGUGGAUGUACUUUUUAUUUUCAGUGACGCUUCACUCACCGCAGAACUGGAGUCGGGACCUAGCACAAUCCUCAGGGUCACUGUUUCAGGACGUUACUCAUCAAGCUUUAGGUUUUUCCGAGCGAACUGGACGCGAGGCCCGGGCACACCGCGGGGCCCCGGCACUGGGCCCUGGCGGGCCGCGUCGCGCCGCGGGAGCCGCUGGAGCCGUUCCCCUUCCCUCGCAGCCGCCGUGCGCCGCGGCGGGGUUAUUUAUCACGACAAAAAAACUACCAAUAAAGCGAUUACGGAACAAACACUAUUGCUGCCGAAUGCCAUAAACACUGAGUUGUACAAAUUGUGAUUGAGGAAAUGAAAAAGGUUUAUACUUUUUAAAAAAAAAAAAGAAAAAAAUUUGAGAUGGAAUAAAUUAUUCACGAAGCCUUC